rnacentral:rRNA from 1 species
CUGGCGGCAUGCCUAACACAUGCAAGUCGAACGAGACCGCUGACUUCGGUUGGCGCGUCUAGUGGCGCACGGGUGCGUAACGCGUGGGAAUCUGCCCUUGGGUUCGGGAUAACAGUUGGAAACGUCUGCUAAUACCGGAUGAUGACUUCGGUCCAAAGAUUUAUCGCCCAGGGAUGAGCCCGCGUCGGAUUAGCUAGUUGGUGGGGUAAAAGCCUACCAAGGCAACGAUCCGUAGCUGGUCUGAGAGGAUGAUCAGCCACACUGGGACUGAGACACGGCCCAGACUCCUACGGGAGGCAGCAGUGGGGAAUAUUGGACAAUGGGCGAAAGCCUGAUCCAGCAAUGCCGCGUGAGUGAUGAAGGCCUUAGGGUUGUAAAGCUCUUUUACCCGGGAUGAUAAUGACAGUACCGGGAGAAUAAGCCCCGGCUAACUCCGUGCCAGCAGCCGCGGUAAUACGGAGGGGGCUAGCGUUGUUCGGAAUCACUGGGCGUAAAGCGCACGUAGGCGGACUCUUAAGUCGGUGGUGAAAUCCCCGAGCUUAACUUGGGAACUGCCAUUGAUACUAUCUGUCUUGAAUACCUUGGAGGUGAGCGGAAUAUGUCAUGUAGCGGUGAAAUGCUUAGAUAUGACAUAGAACACCAAUUGCGAAGGCAGCUCACUACACGGUCAUUGACACUGAGGCACGAAAGCG